rnacentral:lncRNA from 1 species
GUUGAUUUAACGUCUGAUUCGACUCCAAACAAGAUCAUCUUCAUCCUCAACAUUGCAAAGAUUUGCCUGCUGAUCAUCCUGGUUGUUAUUGUUACUACUGUUCAGAUUAAAUACAGGAGGAGGACUGGAGCAGCAGAAGAUGCUCAAGAUCAAGAUUGUGUUCCUGAUGAGCAGGACAGCAGAGUGAUCUAUGAAAAUGUAGAGAAUCACCAAGGCCCUGCCCAGCACCACGGUCAGAAAAAAAGAGGAGGAAGAGGAAGAAGAAGUGAUGUCUUCAACAGUCAAAGAAGCAGUGAAGAAGAUAGUGUGUGAGGAGAGGACAGAGGAAUUUUACACCAGCUUUAACUGUACAUGAAAAGAAGCUGUAGCAGUAACACGCCUCCACUGAUGUGUGUGCAUUUCAUAAGUUCUUUUUACGCAGUGACUCUUCUUUUUGUGGCUCAUUUUUUUACAGUUUGAAAAGAGCUGAUCCACCAAACCAAAGUGUAACAAUGUGGAAACGUCAAAGCGAGAAGCAGACGCCUCUGAUGUAGACUGGCAGUUGUCAGUCGAAACAUGUCAGGAGAUCAAAGUGGAUUUAUUAAAGAACAGUUGCUUGAAAAAAAGAAACCAUAACAUAACAUUAUCAUCAGAAGUUUGAAAAGAACAUCAAGAUCUUUUGUCGGCUGUCAAUGUUUAUUUUCAGGGAUUUUUCUUUGUCUAAUUACAACUUUAUUCUAAUAAUAUUAAAUAGUUUUUUCUCAUAAUAGAAUAAGUUUACUUUUGUAAUAUUACGACUUAAUGACUGUUAAAAAUGUCUUAUACUAAUACAACUUUACUCUUAAAGUCUAUAAAAACGAUGCUCACACUGAUCUUCUUUCUUCAUCUCUGACCCAAGAUAAGCUGUAAAUAUGUCUAAAUUUACUUUCUAUUAUCAGCUUCUAUUUUUCUCACUGUCUUCUUCUUUUCUGUUUGUUCCUGCUAGAAAAUUUCCACUUCACAUUGUUUGCUUUCAUCUCUGUAAUUAUCUCUGCAAAGAGUGAGAGUCACAUUGUGAAAAAAACAAAAUAAAACAAAAAAACACCACA